GAUGAACGCUGGCGGCGUGCCUAAUACAUGCAAGUAGAACGCUGAAGGAGGAGCUUGCUCUUCUGGAUGAGUUGCGAACGGGUGAGUAACGCGUAGGUAACCUGCCUGGUAGCGGGGGAUAACUAUUGGAAACGAUAGCUAAUACCGCAUGACAACAGUUAUUGCAUGAUAACUGUUUAAAAGGGGCAACUGCUCCACUACCAGAUGGACCUGCGUUGUAUUAGCUAGUUGGUGAGGUAACGGCUCACCAAGGCGACGAUACAUAGCCGACCUGAGAGGGUGAUCGGCCACACUGGGACUGAGACACGGCCCAGACUCCUACGGGAGGCAGCAGUAGGGAAUCUUCGGCAAUGGACGGAAGUCUGACCGAGCAACGCCGCGUGGGUGAAGAAGGUUUUCGGAUCGUAAAGCUCUGUUGUAAGAGAAGAACGAGUGUGAGAGUGGAAAGUUCACACUGUGACGGUAUCUUACCAGAAAGGGACGGCUAACUACGUG
rnacentral:rRNA from 1 species